AUGAGAAGAAGACUUAAGGUGACCUUCUAUGGGUUAGGUUCCGUUCGUUCCAUACUGGAUUCGAGGCGUCGGGCGAGGGGCCUUCAGUACCUUGUGGAGUGGGAGGGGUAUGGUCUGGAGGAGAGAUGCUGGGUUCUGGUGGAGGACGUGUUGGACCCUUCAUUGCUGUGGGAGUACCACCAUCACCGUCCGGAUUUCCCUGCACCUCGCCCUCCGGGUCAUCCCCGAAGCCGGUGUAGGUGCGCUCCUGAAGCCACGCAUCAAGGGAGGGGGGGUACUGUCACGACUCCCGCCGAAGUCCGUCCCUCUCCUUGUUCGGGCGGCGUUCAGCGGUCGACGUCACCGGUCUUCUAGCCAUCGCCAUUCCACCUUUGUUUUGUCUUGUUUUCCCGCACACCUGGUUUACAUCCCCUCAUUACUCUACCUGUAUAUUAUCUUCUGUUUCCCCCCAUGUCUGUGUGUGGUAUUGUUCGUUUGUUACAUGUGUGACGCUACAGGCUGGUUGAGGGCCGGGUAUUGUUGUACCUAUGGUUCUGUAUUUUGUACCAUUUUGUGUAUUUGUGCGCUAUCGCUUUUCCCUUAGGCCGGAGUGUUGAGACACAGUUGAAUGUGGCUGUUUUUUUCCUCUGCCUAAUUAAAGUGUGCUUGUUCACUCA